rnacentral:ncRNA from 1 species
GCGCCGUCCCGAGCGGCGUUCAGUGGCUCGAACAGGGCCAGUGCUGCGGGGGUGGUGCCGUGUCGGCGCAGCACCACCCCCGCUUU